rnacentral:rRNA from 1 species
AUUGAACGCUGGCGGCAGGCCUAACACAUGCAAGUCGAGCGAGCGGCGGACGGGUGAGUAAUGUCUGGGAAACUGCCUGAUGGAGGGGGAUAACUACUGGAAACGGUAGCUAAUACCGCAUACCAUCAGAUGUGCCCAGAUGGGAUUAGCUAGGAGGUGGGGUAACGGCUCACCUAGGCGACGAUCCCUAGCUGGUCUGAGAGGAUGACCAGCCAAACUGGAACUGAGACACGGUCCAGACUCCUACGGGAGGAAGCAGUGGGGAAUAUUGCACAAUGGGUGCAAGCCGGAUGCAGCCCUGCCGCGUGUAUGAAGAAGGCCUUCGGGGUGUAAAGGACUUUCAGCGGGGAGGCGUUACCCGCAGAAGAAGGACCGGCUAACUCCCUGCCAGCAGCCGCGGUAAUAC